rnacentral:rRNA from 1 species
UGUGUGUUAGUGGAAGCGUCUGGAAAGGCGCGCGAUACAGGGUGACAGCCCCGUACACAAAAAUGCACAUGCUGUGAGCUCGAUGAGUAGGGCGGGACACGUGGUAUCCUGUCUGAAUAUGGGGGGACCAUCCUCCAAGGCUAAAUACUCCUGACUGACCGAUAGUGAACCAGUACCGUGAGGGAAAGGCGAAAAGAACCCCGGCGAGGGGAGUGAAAAAGAACCUGAAACCGUGUACGUACAAGCAGUGGGAGCACGCUUAGGCGUGUGACUGCGUACCUUUUGUAUAAUGGGUCAGCGACUUAUAUUCUGUAGCAAGGUUAACCGAAUAGGGGAGC